AGAGUUUGAUCCUGGCUCAGAAUCAACGUUGGCGGCGCGCUUAACACAUGCAAGUCGGACGAGAAAGUGGAGCAAUCCAUGAGUACAGUGGCGUACGGGUGAGUAACACGUGGGUAAUCUACCUUUUGGUGGGGGAUAACCUGGGGAAACCUGGGCUAAUACCGCAUAAUCCCGCAAGGGCAAAGCAGCAAUGCGCCGAUAGAGGAGCCCGCGGCCGAUUAGCUAGUUGGUGGGGUAAUGGCUCACCAAGGCGAAGAUCGGUAGCCGGCCUGAGAGGGCACACGGCCACACUGGCACUGAAACACGGGCCAGACUCCUACGGGAGGCAGCAGUGGGGAAUCUUGCACAAUGGGGGCAACCCUGAUGCAGCGACGCCGCGUGAGCGAUGAAGUCCUUCGGGAUGUAAAGCUCUUUCGACGGGAACGAUAAUGACGGUACCCGGAGAAGAAGCUGCGGCUAACUACGUGCCAGCAGCCGCGGUAAUACGUAGGCAGCAAACGUUGUUCGGAAUUACUGGGCGUAAAGAGUGUGUAGGCGGUUGGGUAAGUUUGGUGUGAAAUCUCCCGGCUUAACUGGGAGGGUGCGCCGAAAACUGCCUGGCUUGAGUACUGGAGAGGAAAGCGGAAUUCCUGGAGUAGCGGUGAAAUGCGUAGAUAUCAGGAGGAACACCGGUGGUGUAGACGGCUUUCUGGACAGUCACUGACGCUGAGACACGAAAGCGUGGGGAGCAAACAGGAUUAGAUACCCUGGUAGUCCACGCCCUAAACGAUGCAUACUUGGUGUGAGUCCUUCAUUGGAUU
rnacentral:rRNA from 1 species